rnacentral:rRNA from 1 species
AACGAACGCUGGCGGCAUGCCUAACACAUGCAAGUCGAACGAGACCUUCGGGGCUAGUGGCGCACGGGUGCGUAACGCGUGGGAACCUGCCCUUAGGUUCGGAAUAACUCCCCGAAAGGGGUGCUAAUACCGGAUAAUGUCUUCGGACCAAAGAUUUAUCGCCUUUGGAUGGGCCCGCGUUGGAUUAGCUAGUUGGUAGGGUAAAAGCCUACCAAGGCGACGAUCCAUAGCUGGUCUGAGAGGAUGAUCAGCCACACUGGGACUGAGACACGGCCCAGACUCCUACGGGAGGCAGCAGUGGGGAAUAUUGGACAAUGGGCGAAAGCCUGAUCCAGCAAUGCCGCGUGAGUGAUGAAGGCCUUAGGGUUGUAAAGCUCUUUUACCCGGGAUGAUAAUGACAGUACCGGGAGAAUAAGCUCCGGCUAGCUCCGUG